CAGUGAGGUAAGGUGGAUAUGUUAAUAGCAUAUUCAUUUGACGUUUAGCUGCAGAAGAAGCACCGGCUAACUCCGUGCCAGCAGCCGCGGUAAUACGGAGGGUGCGAGCGUUUAAUCGGAAUUUACUGGGCGUAAAGCGCAUGCAGGUGGUUUGUUAAGUCAGAUGUGAAAGCCCGGGGCUCAACCUCGGAAUUGCAUUUGAAACUGGCAAACUAGAGUACUGUAGAGGGGGUAGGAAUUUCAGGUGUAGCGGUGAAAUGCGUAGAGAUCUGAAGGAAUACCGGUGGCGAAGGCGGCCCCCUGGACAGAUACUGACACUCAGAUGCGAAAGCGUGGGGAGCAAACAGGAUUAGAUACCCUGGUAG
rnacentral:rRNA from 1 species